GAAGUGGUGGCUCAGUGGUUAAGGCUUUGGGCUACUGAUCGGAAGGUUAUGAGUUCAAAUCCCAGAAUGUGCCUCG